rnacentral:rRNA from 1 species
UACGUAGGGUGCAAGCGUUGUCCGGAAUUAUUGGGCGUAAAGCGCGCGCAGGCGGCUGGGUAAGUCCUGGGGUGAAAUGCCGGAGCUCAACUCCGCGCCCGCCCCGGAUACUGUCCGGCCGGAGACACGUAGAGGCAAGCGGAAUUUCGGGUGUAGCGGUGGAAUGCGUAGAGAUCCGAAAGAACACCGGAGGCGAAGGCGGCUUGCUGGGCGUGAUCUGACGCUGAGGCGCGAAAGUGUGGGGAGCGAACAGG